CGCAGCGCCGCCCAGGCGGGACGCCCCCGGCCCCGAGGCGGGGUGAGGCCGCCAAAUUAAGUUUCUACUUGAGAAAUUGAAUUCUGGCUGAGGGAAGAGUUAUUUCUUGUAGGAGCACAAACUCCGAGAUCAUAGACAACGUAAUACUGACUGGAGAACAGGCAGUCCAGAAGGCCAAAGUAAACAUCUUAAAUCAGCAUUAAGGCACUGAACCAAUGAAGUAAAGAAGCAGUUCCCUGUGCGUGCACAAAGCUGCUGCUUGACACUGGACAUACGCACACAAAUGCUGAUGGAUGUUUUUCUUCCGUGAUUCCGGACAUUUCCAAUACCACCGUAUUGAGUAAUUUUCUAUCUUAUCAUGAGUCAUGGCAAAAGAGCACUUCUUUGAAACUUAGCAG
rnacentral:lncRNA from 1 species